UACGGAGGGAGCUAGCGUUGUUCGGAAUUACUGGGCGUAAAGCGCGCGUAGGCGGCUUUGUAAGUUAGAGGUGAAAGCCCGGGGUUCAACCCCGGAACUGCCUUUAAGACUGCAUCGCUUGAAUCCGGGAGAGGUGAGUGGAAUUCCGAGUGUAGAGGUGAAAUUCGUAGAUAUUCGGAAGAACACCAGUGGCGAAGGCGGCUCACUGGACCGGCAUUGACGCUGAUGAGCGAAAGCUAGGGGAGCAAACGGG
rnacentral:rRNA from 1 species